AUGACAUUAGCGGCGAUAGACAACCCGUCCAACGCCGUGGAGUGGGCAUUGGGGGAGAUGGUGAAUAGCCCAGAUUUGCUAGACAAGGCUAUGGAAGAGAUAAACCGGGUGGUUGGUCAGGAGAGACUGGUGCAGGAGUCAGACUUCCCACAACUCAACUACGUCAAGGCGUGUAUACGAGAAGCAUUUCGGUUGCACCCUGUCGCGCCCUUCAAUGUACCACAUGUCGCGGUCGCCGAUGCCAUUGUCUUCGGCUACCACGUGCCAAAGGGCAGCCACAUUCUUCUAAGCCGGGUUGGCUUAGGAUGGAACUCGUCUGUUUGGGAUGAGCCGCUUGACUUCAAGCCAGAGCGCCAUAUGAAAGACAAUAUUGAUGUGGUGCUCACAGAGAGCGAGUUGCGAUUUAUCUCCUUUAGAACUGGUCGUCGCGGGUGCAUUGCGGCGUCUCUAGGGACGGCCAUGACUGUCAUGCUGUUUAGCAGGCUCUUGCAAGGCUUCACAUGGACCAAGCCAGCAGGAGUGGAGGUCCUCCAUCUCGUAGAGUCCAAGCAAGACCUCUUGAUGGCAAAGCCACUGGUGCUACAUGCAGAACCAUGCCUACCGAUGCACCUCUACCGCAUGGUUAAGUAA
rnacentral:rRNA from 1 species